UGGCGGCAUGCCUUACACAUGCAAGUCGAACGGCAGCACGGGAGCAAUCCUGGUGGCGAGUGGCGAACGGGUGAGUAAUAUAUCGGAACGUGCCCAGUCGUGGGGGAUAACGUAGCGAAAGUUACGCUAAUACCGCAUACGAUCUACGGAUGAAAGCGGGGGAUCGCAAGACCUCGCGCGAUUGGAGCGGCCGAUAUCAGAUUAGGUAGUUGGUGAGGUAAAGGCUCACCAAGCCGACGAUCUGUAGCUGGUCUGAGAGGACGACCAGCCACACUGGGACUGAGACACGGCCCAGACUCCUACGGGAGGCAGCAGUGGGGAAUUUUGGACAAUGGGCGCAAGCCUGAUCCAGCAAUGCCGCGUGCAGGAUGAAGGCCUUCGGGUUGUAAACUGCUUUUGUACGGAACGAAACGGUGAGCUCUAAUACAGUUUGCUAAUGACGGUACCGUAAGAAUAAGCACCGGCUAACUACGUG
rnacentral:rRNA from 1 species